CCAUAGAUAAUGUUUUCCAUUCUACUUUAGUUAGCUGUUAGCUGUCGAGCUCAUGUGCAAUUAAAAUUAUUGUACUAGUUUGUUUACGUUUGUAUAUUUUUAUCGAAAAUGGAUUGCUGUAAGAAGGGAGGAUCUCAAACCGUUGUUAAACAAUGCAAAUUCACAAAGAAAGAUGGCACUGUAGUAGAUUGUGAAUGUAUCUGUACCUGCAAUUGUGGAGAUGACUGUAAAUGCGAAAACUGUCCUUGCAAAAAUGGCAAUUGCUGCUCUGAGGAAACAGUAAAGUUAGGGCCUGAUGGAAAAUAUCAUUGCACUUGGGAAUGCAAAUGUUAGUAAUGUAGGGCUUCAUUUUAUCUCAUACAGUGCGGUGGAAUAAGUGUUGCCCCCCCCCUGUUUACUUGUUUAUUUUAAGAAUAUAAGCAAAACUCUCGGACAGGUCGAUUUUUAAACUAAUCGUAGUAUAUUAUAGCAUCAACGUUUCGAACUUUACGCGAUCCCUCUUUAGGUGACAGGCAUAACUUUGAUUUUUUUAAAUGGUAAAGUACAUCAUGUGACACCUCAUUUAACAGCUUCUAAAAUACUGAUUUCAAAAAUGUAUAAUACUUUAAUCUUUUUUGAGAUCGCAGGCCCAAAAUUUCGGUCGAACUCUUUUUAAACGCAUUUAUUUUUUUCGAAUUCUGAGAAAACUAAUAAGUAUUUCUGAAAAAUUUAAACGCAGAAUGAAAUAUUAGGUUAUUACCGAGGGCUAACAGUCCCUUAGAAUAAACAGAAGGUUUCUUUUGAAUGAUAUAUUUGAAAUUAAAAAUCACACUAAAUUUUCUCUUUUUUCCACCACUGUGAGUUAUUAAAUUAAACAUUAUAGGAGUUCUCAGGGGCUUUGGACCAUCGAGAAUACUGUAGUAUUUCAUACUGCGUUUAAAUUUUUCAAAAAUAUUUAUUGGUUUUUUGAGGAUUCGAAAAAAAUGAUUGCAUUUAGACAGAAUUCGACCGAAAUUCUUGGCCUACGCUCUCAAACAGGAUUAAAUUAUUAUACAUUUUUGAACUCAGUAUUUUAAGAUCCUUUAAAUGAGGUGUCACGUGAUGUACUUUCCCAUUUAAAAAAUCAAAGUUAUGGCUGUCACCUGAAGAGGGAUCGCGUAAAGUUCGAAACGUUGAUGGUAUAAUAUACUAUGGUUAGUUUAAAAAUCGACCUGUCCAAGCGCUUUGCUUAUAUUCUUAAAAUAAACAAGUUAACAGGGGGGGGCAACACUUAUUCCACCGCACUGUAUAUAUUUAGUUUGUAAUUUUUUAUUGCCUUUUUUGGUAAAGACUGUAUUUUUAUAUUAAUACGUAUGUAUUGAACUAGAGUAACGAAUAAAGUUUGAAUAUUUAUA